GGAUGCUUUCCAUCUAAGGGUUAGAGUGCAUCCUUUCCAUGUUCUCCGUAUCAACAAGAUGCUUUCGUGUGCUGGUGCCGAUAGGCUCCAAACUGGAAUGAGAGGUGCUUUUGGUAAGCCCCUAGGAACGUGUGCUAGGGUGAGCAUUGGCCAGGUCCUUCUGUCUGUCCGCUGUAAGGAUAACAAUGGGAAUAAUGCCCAGGAAGCUCUACGCCGUGCCAAAUUCAAGUUCCCAGGACGGCAAAAGAUCAUCGUCAGCCGAAAAUGGGGUUUCACCAAGUUUGGCCGGGCUGACUACCAACUAUGGAAACAGCAGAACCGUAUCUUGCCAGAUGGUGUUAAUGCCAAGCUGCUCGGUUGCCAUGGACCACUCGCCAAUCGGCAGCCUGGUCGGGCGUUCAUCGAUGCUGUUGCUAAGUAGGCUUGUUUUGGUUGGCGGGAUGAUGCCUUGCUGCUUCUGUUGUUGGCUAUCAUCGAAUUAUUUUUUGAUAUUAUUCUUGGCAUCUCAUAUUGGAACAUUUGUUAGGCUCAGUUCACUAGGAUGAUUCUGUCUCGAGACCUUUCUUUUCAAUGCUUG
rnacentral:misc_RNA from 1 species